UCUGUUGAUUUGGGAAUCGAUUUAUAUGCUUUGCGAAAUUAUUCGAGAGAUUUCAUUGAACAAGGAUAUGUUUUUGAUCACCAAAAGUCGUGGAACAUCGCCUGGUCUGGUCCAGAAUGUGUAUUACAUCGGGUGCGAAUGCAGCUGUGCGACCUACAUACAUGAAGAUCUCACCCAGGAGCCCGGAAAUCAAAGACGAGGCCGACUGGUGAGGUACGGCAUAGCUGAAGGACAAUCUUCAAUCUGAAAAAUGUAUGCGCAUCGCAGAGAACAAAAAUGGACAGCAACGGUAAAAAGACAAUAUGCUUGAUUGCCAAAUGUUCCCGAAACACGAGGACAAACACGUCCAGAUCGGACGAGAAACGUCAAUAUCGUUA